rnacentral:ncRNA from 1 species
CAAAGGCCUGGUCCCGACUUUACUAUCAGCUUCGACCCAAAUUAUACAUGCAAGUAUCCGCACACCUGUGAGAAUGCCCUCAAUCCCCCGCCCGGGGAUGAGGAGCUGGCAUCAGGCACACAAUGUAGCCCAAGACGCCUUGCUACGCCACACCCCCAAGGGAACUCAGCAGUAAUAAACAUUAAGACAUAAGUGAAAACUUGACUUAAUUAAGGUUAACUUAGGGCCGGUAAAACUCGUGCCAGCCACCGCGGUUAUACGAGAGGCCCGAGUUGAUAGAUGACGGCGUAAAGGGUGGUUAGGGGUUAACAUUAAUUAAAGCCAAAGACCUACCGAGCUGUCAUACGCACCCGAAGGCACGAAGCCCAAAUACGAAAGCAGCUUUAUCUCCCCCCGACCCCACGAAAGCUAAGGAACAAACUGGGAUUAGAUACCCCACUAUGCUUAGCCUUAAACUUAGAUGUUGAAUUUACGAGUAACAUCCGCCAGGGAACUACGAGCGCUAGCUUGAAACCCAAAGGACUUGACGGUGUCUCAGACCCACCUAGAGGAGCCUGUUCUAGAACCGAUAAUCCACGUUAAACCUCACCACCCCUUGUUCAUUCAGCCUGUAUACCGCCGUCGCAAGCUUACCCUGUGAAGGCUUAACAGUAAGCAAAAUGGGAAUAUCCCAAGACGUCAGGUCGAGGUGCAGCCUACGGAGUGGGAAGAAAUGGGCUACAUUUUCUGUAACAGAAUACUACGAAUUACACCAUGAAAUUGGUGUUUGAAGGUGGAUUUAGCAGUAAAAAACAAAUAGAGAGUCUUUUUGAACAUGGCUCUGAGACGCGUACACACCGCCCGUCGCCCUCCCCGUAAACACACAUACUAGUAAAUAACCAAAUUAAACAAAAAAGGGGAGGUAAGUCGUAACAUGGUAAGUGUACCGGAAGGUGCACUUGGAACAU